ACGGGAGGCAGCAGUGAGGAAUAUUGGUCAAUGGACGAGAGUCUGAACCAGCCAAGUAGCGUGCAGGAUGACGGCCCUAUGGGUUGUAAACUGCUUUUGUACGGGAAUAAAGUGACCUACGCGUAGGUUUUUGCAUGUACCGUAAGAAUAAGGACCGGCUAAUUCCGUGCCAGCAGCCGCGGUAAUACGGAAGGUCCGGGCGUUAUCCGGAUUUAUUGGGUUUAAAGGGAGCGUAGGCCGUGCUUUAAGCGUGUUGUGAAAUGUAGGCGCCCAACGUCUGCACUGCAGCGCGAACUGGAGCACUUGAGUACGCAGGAAGUAGGCGGAAUUCGUCGUGUAGCGGUGAAAUGCUUAGAUAUGUCACAGAACACCGAUUGCGAAGGCAGCUGACUAAUCCGCAACUGACGCUCAGGCACGAAAGCGUGGGGAUCGAACAGGAUUAGAUACCCUGGUA
rnacentral:rRNA from 1 species